UGGCUCAGAGGUUAAAGCAUCUGCCUACAAUGCAGGAGACCCAGGUUCGAUCCCUGG
rnacentral:tRNA from 1 species